UGAACAAUGAGACCCCUCUGAUGCUUUGGAAGCUCUCUGCGGACCAUGGCUUGUACUGUAAGAUGUGACUACAAAAAUGUCAGGAAAAGCUUACUAGAACAGUCCAACUUCAUUUGGGGUUAAUCAGUGGCACUUAAAAUGGUGGCAGGUGUGUGCUGACUACCAUUUAACAUGAGUUUAAAUGUGACUGGUUAAUUCUGAACAGCCACAACCCCAGUUAUAAGAGGGUGUACACACUUGUACAACCACAUUAUCUCAGUUGUUUAUUUUUACUUCCCCUCCCUAAAAGAUUUGAGUUUGUUUUUCAUUUGAUUUGUAGAGGUUAUAAGUUACAUUAAUGGUGGAAAAAGUUUGGAAAUGAUUUAUCUUGGUCUAAUCUUUUUACAUCACAAAAACCUGGCAUUUUAACAAGGGUGUGUAGACUUUUUAUAUGUACUGUAAAUACAGUAUACUGUCAGGUAUG